rnacentral:rRNA from 1 species
UGAGGAAUAUUGGUCAAUGGGCGAGAGCCUGAACCAGCCAAGUCGCGUGAGGGAAGAAUGGUCUAUGGCCUGUAAACCUCUUUUGUCAGGGAAGAAUAAGCGGCACGCGUGCCGUGAUGCCAGUACUUGACGAAUAAGCAUCGGCUAACUCCGUGCCAGCAGCCGCGGUAACACGGGGGAUGCGAGCGUUAUCCGGAUUUAUUGGGUUUAAAGGGCGCGUAGGCGGGAUGCCAAGUCAGCGGUAAAAGACUGCAGCUAAACUGUAGCACGCCGUUGAAACUGGUAACCUCGAGACGAGUCGAGGAUGGCGGAACAAGUGAAGUAGCGGUGAAAUGCUUAGAUAUCACUUGGAACCCCGAUAGCGAAGGCAGCUGUCCAGACUCGAUCUGACGCUGAUGCGCGAGAGCGUGGGUAGCGAACAGG